rnacentral:rRNA from 1 species
UAGUCCACGCCGUAAACGAUGGGUGCUAGCCGUCGGGACCAUAGGUUUCGGUGGCGUAGCUAACGCGUUAAGCACCCCGCCUGGGAAGUACGGUCGCAAGAUUAAAACUCAAAGGAAUUGACGGGGACCCGCACAAGCGGUGGAGCAUGUGGUUUAAUUCGAGGCAACGCGAAGAACCUUACCAGGACUUGACAUCCUGAUCGCGAGAUACAGAGACGUAUCUUUUCAGUUCGGCUGGAUCAGUGACAGGUGCUGCAUGGCUGUCGUCAGCUCGUGUCGUGAGAUGUUGGGUUAAGUCCCGCAACGAGCGCAACCCUCACCCUUAGUUACCAGCGGUUCGGCCGGGGACUCUAAGGGAACUGCCGGUGUCAAGCCGGAGGAAGGUGGGGAUGAGGUCAAGUCAUCAUGGGCCCUUACGUCCUGGGGCUACACACGUGCUACAAUGGGGUAUUACAAUGGGGCUGCUACUCCGCGAGGAGAUGCCAAUCUCUAAAAAAUCCCU